CCACUUUCUACAAACCCUUUUGAGUCUGGCACUUACUGUGCACUGUGCAGUGAUCCCCUCUCUCAUUCUUGAGGGGGUAGGAGACCAAGAACCUGGAAAAACAUCCUCUCAGGGGAGCUGAAGGCACCCUCAACUCCUGAACCCCAAUAUUACAAGAGCUCCUGAAGGUGAUAACCUUACAGAAAAUUGCCUGUCCUAGAGUAUUCCUUGUUUGGGCACUAGGUGAGAGGACCCCUCUUGUGUGAAUACAGUGUGCCCAGUCUCUCUCCAUCGAGGCCCAUCACCAUCUUUCAGCUGGUUGCAGAUUAUCACUGGCAACUCCCGCAGAGGAACCUGUGGCCAUAUCUGCCCACUCUAGUCCCUCCGCAGAAGCUACAGGAGGAAUGCCCCUUACUGACCACCUGCCAGCAUACAUGAAUGAAACUUCAGGUCACACAGCUGCUGCCAUGGAGGUUAUAGAGAUCUUUUGGGAAAUGGAUGUGAAGGGCUCUGGAAUGUUCCUGAACUCACCUGCCAUUCCAGGGUCUUGGACGAGUUGAAGUUGAUUGGUCCUGGCUUAUAUAAAUCUGCGUAAGGGAUUCAGGACAAAGUUUUGUUUUGAUUUUCUCACAAAAAAUUUCUGCA
rnacentral:lncRNA from 13 species